GACAGAGGUGCCGAGCGUUAGGCGGAAUCACUGGGCGUAAAGGGCGCGUAGGUGGCUUCUUAAGCGUGCGGUGAAAGCCUGGGGCUCAACCCCGGGUCGGCCGUGCGAACUGGGGGGCUGGAGCACUGUAGAGGCAGGCGGAAUUCCGGGUGUAGCGGUGGAAUGCGUAGAGAUCCGGAAGAACACCGGUGGCGAAGGCGGCCUGCUGGGCAGUUGCUGACACUGAGGCGCGACAGCGUGGGGAGCAAACAGG
rnacentral:rRNA from 1 species